rnacentral:rRNA from 1 species
CUUGGGUACUCGAGUGGCGAACGGGUGAGUAACACGUGGGUGAUCUGCCCUGCACUUCGGGAUAAGCCUGGGAAACUGGGUCUAAUACCGGAUAGGACCACAUUUUGGAUGGUGUGGUGGAAAGUUUUUCGGUGUGGGAUGAGCUCGCGGCCUAUCAGCUUGUUGGUGGGGUAAUGGCCUACCAAGGCGUCGACGGGUAGCCGGCCUGAGAGGGUGUACGGCCACAUUGGGACUGAGACACGGCCCAG